rnacentral:rRNA from 1 species
GACGAACGCUGGCGGCGUGCUUAACACAUGCAAGUCGAACGGAGAGGCGCACGGGUGAGUAAUACCUAGGAGAAUGCCCGGUAGGGGGGGAUAACGUUCCGAAAAGGACGCUCAUAUAGCAUAUUACAAGGUGAGCCCCGAUCGGAUUGGAUAGUUGGUGAGGUAAUGGCUCACCAAGGCUACGCUCCGUCACUGGUCUGAGAGGGUGAUCAGUCACACUGGAACGGAGACACGGUCCAGACUCCUACGGGAGGAAGCAGUGGGGAAUAUUGGACAAUGGGCGAAAGCCUGAUCCAGCCAUGCCGCGUGUGUGAAGAAGGUCGUCGGAUUGUAAAGCACUUUAAGUUGGGAGGCGUUACCGACAGAAUAAGCACCGGCUAACUCGGUGCCAGCAGCCGCGGUAAUUC